CCUACGGGCGACAGCAGUGAGGAAUAUUGGUCAAUGGACGAGAGUCUGAACCAGCCAAGUAGCGUGAAGGAUGACUGCCCUAUGGGUUGUAAACUUCUUUUAUAUGGGAAUAAAAUGUUCCACGUGUGGGUUUUUGUAUGUACCAUAUGAAUAAGGAUCGGCUAACUCCGUGCCAGCAGCCGCGGUAAUACGGAGGAUCCGAGCGUUAUCCGGAUUUAUUGGGUUUAAAGGGAGCGUAGGUGGAUUGUUAAGUCAGUUGUGAAAGUUUGCGGCUCAACCGUAAAAUUGCAGUUGAAACUGGCAGUCUUGAGUACAGUAGAGGUGGGCGGAAUUCGUGGUGUAGCGGUGAUAUGCUUAGAUAUCACGAAGAACUCCGAUUGCGAAGGCAGCUCACUGGACUGCAACUGACACUGAGGCUCGAAAGUGUGGGUAUCAAACAGGAUUAGAUACCCGGGUAGUC
rnacentral:rRNA from 1 species